CCAUUUUACCUGUUCACAAAAAUGGAGAUUUUGGUUAGCAACUGAUACUUUCUACUGCACCUGGAAGCUUAAGUUUUGACACAUUAGCCUCAAUGAUAUAUAGCUUUUACCCUUGCAGGUGCUGCUUCCAGCGAUAUUCUUGCCCGUGUUAUGAUGCCAAACUGACCGAGCCCUCCAAGGACACUAUGAAAUAGGAUAUUUAUCCACAAUUCACCACCAGAGGCAUCCACGUAUGGAGAACUUCCGGUGUGAAUCUGGAUUUGAGGGCCUUUGAGUGAUUCCAUAUUGAUGACAACUCCACGGUGGGCUUGCGACUGGCCUUGGAGCGAGUGACCGUGGCCUCUAGCUGAAACUCACUGCCACAGGGAGGAACUGAUAUCUGUUGCCGAAAUCUCUAGCUGCAUGGUGAACUUCAUGGAAGUCGAAAUGCCCAUGGAGGGGAAGUGUUUUCAACGAAGGAGUGUUUGGAGAACAAGGGUUCGUUCUAAUGGUUAAGC